rnacentral:lncRNA from 1 species
UGAGGAUGGACACACAGUUAACAGUUGCUGCAGAGAAGAGAGAGAUUCUGAACCUGAAAACUUAUCUACCAGCUAAAAUUUAUUUGCAGGCUGAAAGGCCAUGCUUCUGCAGAUUUCUUGGGUACCUCUCCUGACAUGCUCCUGAGAAAGCGCACAGAUGUGGAAAGAGCAGUCAUCGAUGUGUGUUCCUCACCAAGGAGGUCUGCGAGACAACAUGGGCACCAUUACCCAUCUAAGGCAAUAAAUACUCUGUUUCUUUCUGUA